rnacentral:rRNA from 1 species
GGGUUGUGAGGUUAAGCGACUAAGCGUACACGGUGGAUGCCCUGGCAGUCAGAGGCGAUGAAGGACGUGCUAAUCUGCGAUAAGCGUCGGUAAGGUGAUAUGAACCGUUAUAACCGGCGAUUUCCGAAUGGGGAAACCCAGUGUGAUUCGUCACACUAUCAUUAACUGAAUCCAUAGGUUAAUGAGGCGAACCGGGGGAACUGAAACAUCUAAGUACCCCGAGGAAAAGAAAUCAACCGAGAUUCCCCCAGUAGCGGCGAGCGAACGGGGAGCAGCCCAGAGCCUGAAUCAGUGUGUGUGUUAGUGGAAGCGUCUGGAAAGGCGUGCGAUACAGGGUGACAGCCCCGUACACAAAAAUGCACAUGCUGUGAGCUCGAUGAGUAGGGCGGGACACGUGGUAUCCUGUCUGAAUAUGGGGGGACCAUCCUCCAAGGCUAAAUACUCCUGACUGACCGAUAGUGAACCAGUACCGUGAGGGAAAGGCGAAAAGAACCCCGGCGAGGGGAGUGAAAAAGAACCUGAAACCGUGUACGUACAAGCAGUGGGAGCACGCUUAGGCGUGUGACUGCGUACCUUUUGUAUAAUGGGUCAGCGACUUAUAUUCUGUAGCAAGGUUAACCGAAUAGGGGAGCCGAAGGGAAACCGAGUCUUAACUGGGCGUUAAGUUGCAGGGUAUAGACCCGAAACCCGGUGAUCUAGCCAUGGGCAGGUUGAAGGUUGGGUAACACUAACUGGAGGACCGAACCGACUAAUGUUGAAAAAUUAGCGGAUGACUUGUGGCUGGGGGUGAAAGGCCAAUCAAACCGGGAGAUAGCUGGUUCUCCCCGAAAGCUAUUUAGGUAGCGCCUCGUGAAUUCAUCUCCGGGGGUAGAGCACUGUUUCGGCAAGGGGGUCAUCCCGACUUACCAACCCGAUGCAAACUGCGAAUACCGGAGAAUGUUAUCACGGGAGACACACGGCGGGUGCUAACGUCCGUCGUGAAGAGGGAAACAACCCAGACCGCCAGCUAAGGUCCCAAAGUCAUGGUUAAGUGGGAAACGAUGUGGGAAGGCCCAGACAGCCAGGAUGUUGGCUUAGAAGCAGCCAUCAUUUAAAGAAAGCGUAAUAGCUCACUGGUCGAGUCGGCCUGCGCGGAAGAUGUAACGGGGCUAAACCAUGCACCGAAGCUGCGGCAGCGACACUAUGUGUUGUUGGGUAGGGGAGCGUUCUGUAAGCCUGUGAAGGUGUACUGUGAGGUAUGCUGGAGGUAUCAGAAGUGCGAAUGCUGACAUAAGUAACGAUAAAGCGGGUGAAAAGCCCGCUCGCCGGAAGACCAAGGGUUCCUGUCCAACGUUAAUCGGGGCAGGGUGAGUCGACCCCUAAGGCGAGGCCGAAAGGCGUAGUCGAUGGGAAACAGGUUAAUAUUCCUGUACUUGGUGUUACUGCGAAGGGGGGACGGAGAAGGCUAUGUUGGCCGGGCGACGGUUGUCCCGGUUUAAGCGUGUAGGCUGGUUUUCCAGGCAAAUCCGGAAAAUCAAGGCUGAGGCGUGAUGACGAGGCACUACGGUGCUGAAGCAACAAAUGCCCUGCUUCCAGGAAAAGCCUCUAAGCAUCAGGUAACAUCAAAUCGUACCCCAAACCGACACAGGUGGUCAGGUAGAGAAUACCAAGGCGCUUGAGAGAACUCGGGUGAAGGAACUAGGCAAAAUGGUGCCGUAACUUCGGGAGAAGGCACGCUGAUAUGUAGGUGAAGUCCCUCGCGGAUGGAGCUGAAAUCAGUCGAAGAUACCAGCUGGCUGCAACUGUUUAUUAAAAACACAGCACUGUGCAAACACGAAAGUGGACGUAUACGGUGUGACGCCUGCCCGGUGCCGGAAGGUUAAUUGAUGGGGUUAGCGCAAGCGAAGCUCUUGAUCGAAGCCCCGGUAAACGGCGGCCGUAACUAUAACGGUCCUAAGGUAGCGAAAUUCCUUGUCGGGUAAGUUCCGACCUGCACGAAUGGCGUAAUGAUGGCCAGGCUGUCUCCACCCGAGACUCAGUGAAAUUGAACUCGCUGUGAAGAUGCAGUGUACCCGCGGCAAGACGGAAAGACCCCGUGAACCUUUACUAUAGCUUGACACUGAACAUUGAGCCUUGAUGUGUAGGAUAGGUGGGAGGCUUUGAAGUGUGGACGCCAGUCUGCAUGGAGCCGACCUUGAAAUACCACCCUUUAAUGUUUGAUGUUCUAACGUUGACCCGUAAUCCGGGUUGCGGACAGUGUCUGGUGGGUAGUUUGACUGGGGCGGUCUCCUCCUAAAGAGUAACGGAGGAGCACGAAGGUUGGCUAAUCCUGGUCGGACAUCAGGAGGUUAGUGCAAUGGCAUAAGCCAGCUUGACUGCGAGCGUGACGGCGCGAGCAGGUGCGAAAGCAGGUCAUAGUGAUCCGGUGGUUCUGAAUGGAAGGGCCAUCGCUCAACGGAUAAAAGGUACUCCGGGGAUAACAGGCUGAUACCGCCCAAGAGUUCAUAUCGACGGCGGUGUUUGGCACCUCGAUGUCGGCUCAUCACAUCCUGGGGCUGAAGUAGGUCCCAAGGGUAUGGCUGUUCGCCAUUUAAAGUGGUACGCGAGCUGGGUUUAGAACGUCGUGAGACAGUUCGGUCCCUAUCUGCCGUGGGCGCUGGAGAAUUGAGGGGGGCUGCUCCUAGUACGAGAGGACCGGAGUGGACGCAUCACUGGUGUUCGGGUUGUCAUGCCAAUGGCACUGCCCGGUAGCUAAAUGCGGAAGAGAUAAGUGCUGAAAGCAUCUAAGCACGAAACUUGCCCCGAGAUGAGUUCUCCCUGACUCCUUGAGAGUCCUGAAGGAACGUUGAAGACGACGACGUUGAUAGGCCGGGUGUGUAAGCGCAGCGAUGCGUUGAGCUAACCGGUACUAAUGAACCGUGAGGCUUAACCUUACAACGCCGAAGGUGUUU